rnacentral:rRNA from 1 species
AUUGAACGCUGGCGGCAUGCCUUACACAUGCAAGUCGAACGGCAGCACGGGAGCAAUCCUGGUGGCGAGUGGCGAACGGGUGAGUAAUAUAUCGGAACGUGCCCAGUAGUGGGGGAUAACUGCUCGAAAGAGCAGCUAAUACCGCAUACGACCUGAGGGUGAAAGGGGGGGAUCGCAAGACCUCUCGCUAUUGGAGCGGCCGAUAUCAGAUUAGCUAGUUGGUGGGGUAAAGGCCUACCAAGGCAACGAUCUGUAGUUGGUCUGAGAGGACGAACAGCCACACUGGGACUGAGACACGGCCCAGACUCCUACGGGAGGCAGCGGUGGGGAAUUUUGGACAAUGGGCGCAAGCCUGAUCCAGCAAUGCCGCGUGCAGGAAGAAGGCCUUCGGGUUGUAAACUGCUUUUGUCAGGGAAGAAAUCCUCUAGGUUAAUACCCUUGGGGGGAUGACGGUACCUGAAGAAUAAGCACCGGCUAACUACGUGCCAGCAGCCGCAGUAACAC